rnacentral:tRNA from 1 species
UCCCUGGUGGCCUAGUGGGUUAAGGACCCAGCAUUGUCACUGCUAUGUCGCAGGUUCAAUCCCUGGCCUAGGAA